GUGAACGAGCGACGCCGCGUGGAGGACGAAGGCCUUCGGGUUGUAAACUCCUGUCGAGGGGAAGGAAGGGGCGGUGCAGAGCCGUCCUUGACCGAUCCCUGGAGGAAGCACGGGCUAAGUUCGUGCCAGCAGCCGCGGUAAGACGAACCGUGCGAACGUUAUUCGGAAUCACUGGGCUUAAAGCGCGUGUAGGCGGGUCGCCACGUCGGAUGUUGAAAUCCCCCGGCUCAACCGGGGAAUAGGCACCGAUACGAGCGGCCUGGAGGGGAGUAGGGGGACCUGGAACUUCCGGUGGAGCGGUGAAAUGCGUUGAGAUCGGAAGGAACGCCCGUGGCGAAAGCGAGGUCCUGGGCUCUUACUGACGCUGAGACGCGAAAGCCAGGGGAGCAAACGGGAUUAGAUACCCCGGUAGUCCUGGCUGUAAACGAU
rnacentral:rRNA from 1 species